UUUCCGUAGGUGAACCUGCGGAAGGAUCAUUGUCGAAUGCUCGUAGAAUGCCGUUGGACAUGUGGACUGGUUGGAACAUAGGCAGCGGGGUGCACGGGAUCUCCCCCGCGUGACCCCUUUUGGUCGUUGGCGGCAUGCCUCGGGGGGCGUGUGAGCACUUUGAUCUACCUCUUACAUCGGCACGGGAAGUGCCAAGGCAAAAAACGGAUUGGAAGAGCUCCUGGUGGCCCCGUGCGGUGUGCGCCUUUGAGGCGCUCGCGGGAUCCACGAAGGUGACUUUUGAAAUCAUGCUAAAACGACUCUCGGCAAUGGAUAUCUCGGCUCCCGUGUCGAUGAAGAACGCAGCGAAAUGCGAUACAUGGUGUGAAUUGCAGAAUCUCGUGAAUCAUUGAGUUUUUGAACGCAAGUUGCGCCCGAGGCCGUUUUUCGGUCGAGGGCACGCCUGCCUGGGCGUCAUGCAUGGAGUAGCCCCUGGGCUCCCCCCGUUAGGAGACCCGCUAAUCUGGUCGACUUUCGAUGGGAGGGGUAAUGGGGUAGACGUUGGCCUCCCGUUCCAUGUUGCGCGGUUGGCUUAAUUCCAUGGUCCUUGGCGACAUGCGGCGCGACGAGUUGUGGCAGACUGUGUUUUUCCCAUGUCGGUAUGUGGACCCCUGCGGUCCCAUGGCUUCACUGACACUUAGAUGGAGCAACACUUCCGACCCC
rnacentral:misc_RNA from 1 species